GUGCCAGCAGCCGCGGUAAUACGGAGGGUGCAAGCGUUGUCCGGAUUUAUUGGGUUUAAAGGGUGCGUAGGUGGCCUGUUAAGUCUGGUUUGAAAGUCGGCGGCUCAACCGUUGGAUGUGGCUGGAAACUGGCGGGCUUGAAUGGAAUGGAGGUCACUGGAACGGGUCAUGUAGCGGUGAAAUGCAUAGAUAUGACCCAGAACCCCGAUUGCGAAGGCAGGUGACUACGUUUUGAUUGACACUGAGGCACGAGAGCAUGGGGAGCGAACAGGAUUAGAUACCCUGGUAGUCC
rnacentral:rRNA from 1 species